UAAAACGUAGGUGGCAAGCGUUAUCCGGAUUUACUGGGCGUAAAGUGGGCGUAGGCGGCUCUUUAAGUCGGAUGUAAAAUCUCCCGGCUCAACUGGGAGGGACCAUCCGAUACUGUUGAGCUUGAGGACAGCAGAGGGAGGUAGAAUUCCCGGUGUAGUGGUGGAAUGCGUAGAUAUCGGGAGGAAUACCAGUGGCGAAAGCGACCUCCUGGGCUGUUUCUGACGCUGUUGCCCGAAAGCGUGGGGAGCAAACAGGAUUAGAUACCCUGGUAGUCCACGCCAUAAACGAUGGACACUAGGUGCAGGGAGUAUCGACCCUUUCUGUGCCGUAGCUAACGCGUUAAGUGUCCCGCCUGGGGAGUACGGCCGCAAGGUUA
rnacentral:rRNA from 1 species